UGUUGCUGAGUCUCCUGUCAACGGGACACUCGGCUCCUCUGAGCAGCUGUGACAGUCUGGUGAAACCAAUAACUAUCAGCAAUGAAGACAUGUUGGGUAGGUGGCUGUACAUCGGGGGGAGCUCUGACCUCCCAGGAAGCCGUUCUCUGGGACACCUGAUGACCAGCGUGUGGCUGGACAUCACUGCAACAGCUCAGAGUAACGUCCUCAAUCUCAUCCAGACUCAGAGAAUAUAUGGUGAUUGUUCAAGCUUAGCAUACAGUGUGACUUUUGAAAACAGCACAAUGUUAAUUGAGCAACCUUUCUACCUUAAAGAAGUCUACCUGCCAACUGACUGCUCAGACUGCCUCGUUGUCCAUGAAGAAAUUAUCUCUGGCAAAGAUACUUUUACCAGUUUUCUGCUUUUUAGUAGGAGACAAAGUGUCUCACCUGAUGUUCUGGAGAUGUUCAAGAGACAAGCAGAAUGUCUGCGGAUGCCGUCGCCAAUAAUGAUCAACACAAACUAUGAAAUCUGCCCGGACAACAUCCCACCCUCAGAGGGGCUCACUGCCCUCAACUCUUUAUUAGAGGCCAGGAUGGGGCAUCGAGUUGCAAGAUUCCUGGAUACUCUUUUUGAUAUGUUUGUGAACUGAUCUAUAAUUAGUUUUGAUUUUGUGCCACAAGUCAUUUUGUAUGAAAAAGCAUGGAAUUUGUUGUGAUAUGCAUAAGUAAUUCAGAAAAUUGCAUAAAAAUCAAGGUUUAGGAGCUACCGUGUUUUCUUCUACUUAUUGGCAGUUGUGGUAUGAUUAUUGUUAUUUUUUUGUUGUUUGAUGUCUCACAUUCUGAGCUAAAAAAAGAUAUAAAUAAAAACAAGACCUUUUCUUUCUUUUCUUUAUUCCACAAAGACCCUUCGUUGAGGUAUAAAGACAGAGUUGCACAUGAGACGGUAAAUAAUGUCGACAGUUGUCCAGUUAUUGAAGUUAAACUCUGGGCAGAUGCAAUACAGUUACAAGAAAAUUAUAAGUAAACAAAUGAAUAAACAAAUAAGCAAACAAGCACGCUAAGGUCAAUAUUCACCUGCUAUUUAAAAGUAACCGUCAUUAUGGUAACAGACUUAGAACACUGUCUAAAACUUGAACACACUGUGAAAAUAUAUCGUGACAUAUUACAAAUAUGUAUAUAAAUAUGUAUGAAGUAUGAUAUAUGCCCAUAUUUUGUCAUUUAAAUCCUUUAUUACAGCAGCAGGAUUAGGAAGGCUCCGUCCACAUUCUGGGGUUACGAUACGUAACCGAUGCUCUUCUCAGUAAACCUCUGCAUGUGUACGGUGACAGGAUUAUGUGAUUGAGGCACUUGAGAAUGAUAGACACACCUCCAUAGUGCCAAAACCUUUCUGUGCUCACUGUGCAUGCAGGUGCACAACAACUGAUUGGUCCAUUUAGCUCAAAGCAGUGCUGUGCUAAUGUAUAGCCUUACAGAGCUGCUAGCAUGGCUAUGACUGUCUUUUUUACUCUGACUGGACUCUGAUCAACUGAUUUAUAAUCAUCAUCUAAUCUGAUUUCUAAUCAUUCUAAUCAUUUGUCCAAUUCUGUUGUCACAGUUUCACAGUUGCUUCCAGUAAAAACUUAAACGGUCAAUAUUGUUUUCAGAGUUUGUUUGAAGAGUGUUGUAUCUUUGUAUUUGUUCACUGGCUGGUCGCUAACUUUGUCUGUCUGCUGUCUGGUGAAAGCAGGUAGGAUAUAGAGGGUCUUUCAAACUACUUGCUUAGCUGCUGUGACUGAAUAACGCUGAUGAGAGAAGCUGAGGGGAACUGCAGAGUCAGAACAUAAGUAUCUGUGGAUUUGUCACCACAAGCAACCCUUUUCACGCACAGUACAUGCAGUCAUUUGAACCAUUGUUAAUAUAAAAAUAGUGAUUAUAACAGGUUCAAGUUCUACUUCUAUAUACAUACACAUCUUCUAAGCGUCUGUUGAGUAACAUAUCAUUACAGAAGAAGUAUGGUGGAUGUGUGUACAUACCAGAAAGUAUAACAUCUUUUCAUUCGCAGUACAUGCAGCAUUAAAAAAAACUCUUGAUGACAGCUUGGUUGUAGGAUUAGCUAGCAGCUGGCAAGAAACACAGCAGCAGAAAAAACAGAGUCAUUGAUUCUGUAGAAUAGUACUUUCUUCAUUACGUUUGGUUUCAUCUGCUCUAAUUCCCCAGUUGUUAUUGUCUUUAAUUUGGUUGUCUAAAUACAAGUCAAUAAACCUUUUACUGUCUCCAUCGCUGAACCAGAUUACGACACAUGUAAACAACUCAGGAGUCCAUGUGGGAUGAGCCUCUGACCUUUGAUGCACCAGUUUUAGCUUUAAGCAGACACAACCAGCACAGAGACACAGAUUCAGGAUCUUUGUGAAAGUGGAUGCGACGAGUCAUGAUGGUGUUUGUUCAUGUUGCUGUGGCUGUGCUCAGUCUUCUGUCUGUUGGGCAGUCAGCUCCAGUUACCAGCUGUGAGAGUCUGAUCCAACAGAUUGAAAUCCAAGGAAGAGACCAGCUGUUGGGCAAGUGGAUGAGCAUCGCGGAAAGCACAAAUGUCGCAGCAUUCAAAUUGCUGACAGAGAUGUUUGCGGAGACCUGCUGGGUGAAAAUCACCACGGCCAAGGAGAAUAAUGCCAUCGAUGUCUUUCAGGCUCAAAAAAUUGCACCCCUUCAGUGUAUCUGAGGUCUUUCUGAGAUCUGGCUGCCCUGACUGCCUCGUUUUACAGGCAAAAUACACCAUCGGAAGAAGCACAUACACGGGUCUUCAGUUACUGAGCAGGAGAGCUAAGGUGACUGCCGCUGAGAUGGAGGAGUUUAAGAAGCAGGUAGAGUGUCUGAACCUACUACCACCCACUAUCCUGGAUCCAGAAAAAGGUUUUUGCCCAGAUGAGUCUACAAUAAAAGGAACAGGGACCAUUGACCUAACCGAUGUCUCAAAUCACAUGAACUCUGAAUCUGUCAGUCUACUUGAAAAUGUGAUCAACAGUGGUGGUGAAAUGUUAGUCGAAACUAUCUCCAGUCGCAUGGCUGGAUUAAAAGAAAAUUAAUAUUGGCAUGCUUACAUGGCCAGGUCUGCCUGAAAAGGAUUCUGCCUGUAAAAAAUAAAAUACCAAAUGAAUAUGAAGUAUG